UCUUCGUCUUGGCUUUCUUCCCCUCAGAUCGGUGAUUUCAAUUCUCCGGCAAUUCAAACCCCUAGAUCAACCGGAAGUCACAACUAUUACACGCGUCCUCCUUUUUCGUCUUCCGAUAUACUUCAGGUUUCCUCUAAACCUAACCGAUCAGAAAGCCCUAGAAAUCUUUCAAUCCGGUCAUUCAUGUACGCCUACGACAACCGUUACUCCGACUCCAACUCCUACCGCGAACGCCGAAGUGACCUAAUGGGUCCGGCGCCUGCGUCAGCACCGCCACCGAGCUACGGCCGUGGCGGUGGGGUGGCACCGUACAGGGGCCCAGCGCAUCCGUACGGUGGAGGCGCGGCUGGCGGAGAUAGGAGUGGGUACCCUCCUUUCCAGCCACCGGCGGGGCGGUUCAGCAUCGGCCGUGACGGAGGUGGGAGAGGCCGUGGCGGCGGGGGUAGGGGUUUUGAUGGAGGACGUGGGGGUGGUAGGAGCUCAGGUUAUAGUCGGGGAGGAGGGAGUUCGGGUUUCGGGGGUGGAAGAGGAGGUGGUAGACAUGGUGGUGGUGGGUCGGCGAGAGGUGACUUGGAUGGCAUUGUUCUUCCUAGGCAGGAUUUUGGGAACUUGGUUCCUUUUGAGAAGAAUUUUUAUAUUGAGAGCCCGUCGGUGAAGGCUAUGUCAGAGCAUGAAGUUGUGGCGUAUCGAGCCAGGAGGGAGAUUACGGUUGAAGGGCAUGAUGUCCCCAAGCCGAUCCAGACUUUUCGGGACGCAAGUUUCCCCGGUUAUUGCCUUGAUGUGAUUGCCAAGUUGGGUUUCGUUGAACCAACACCAAUUCAGGCUCAAGGAUGGCCUAUGGCACUGAAGGGUAGAGAUUUAGUUGGAAUUGCCGAGACUGGUUCCGGAAAAACCCUUUCAUAUCUGCUUCCAUCUCUGGUGCAUAUCAGUGCUCAGCCUCGAUUAGCUCCAGGUGACGGUCCUGUUGCGUUAGUGUUAGCACCUACUCGGGAAUUGGCAGUUCAAAUUCAAGAAGAAGCUGUAAAAUUCUGUUCAGAAAAUUAUAUUAGGAGUACAUGCAUUUAUGGUGGUGCUCCAAAAGGACCCCAAAUACGCGAUCUCAGAAGAGGGGUUGAGAUUGUGAUAGCUACACCUGGCAGACUUAUAGAUAUGUUGGAAGCCCAACACACAAAUUUGCGAAGAGUGACUUACCUAGUUUUGGAUGAGGCUGAUAGGAUGUUGGACAUGGGAUUUGAGCCGCAGAUAAGGAAAAUUGUAUCCCAAACCCGACCAGAUCGGCAGACAUUGUAUUGGAGUGCCACAUGGCCAAGGGAGGUUGAAUCUUUAGCAAGGCAGUUUUUACGAAAUCCCUAUAAGGUAAUCAUUGGAUCGGCAAGUUUGAAAGCAAACCAAUCCAUAAAGCAAGUUAUUGAAGUUGUGACCGAGUUUGAGAAAUAUAAUAGGCUGCUCAAAUUGCUAAAAGACUCUAUAAUUGGGAGCCGGAUUCUGAUAUUUGUGGAGACAAAAAAGGGUUGUGACCAUGUUACUAAGCAAUUGAGAAUGGAUGGAUGGCCAGCUCUGUCAAUUCAUGGUGAUAAAAACCAGGCUGAAAGAGACUGGGUCUUGGCUGAGUUUAAAAGUGGCAGAUCACCCAUAAUGACUGCCACAGAUGUGGCUGCACGGGGUCUUGGUAGGAUUACUGUAUGCUAGAAGUCUUAGGUGUCUUAUAAUUCGGGUCAUGAUUUUUAAAGGUUGCGAGUUGGCCGGCUGCUUUCCAGUUCCUAAGAAUUUAAUUUGUGGAUUGGGUGCGAAGGUGGCAUCAUAUCUGAUAAUUUGGGCUUCUUCUAUUUUGCUAUCUACUUCAGCAGGGGAAUAAGUUGGAUUGAGGAGCAGUAUUAAUUUCUCUUAUUUGCACAAUGUCCCCUGUGAUAGUAAUAUUGUGGGUGCUACCUUUUUCUGAAAGCUCAUGUUACAUGGACACCAAGAGCAAAGUUUCACUGGAAUAGGAAACUUCCUAAAAGUGUUUUGGGUGCUAUGCCAUUACAUCAUUAUGCAAGUUUGUAUGUUUCGUUGGUCAGGAAAAUUAUGUCCAAGGAUAGAUAUCACUUGUUUAUAUUAGAGGGACUGAAAUGGCAUGGCUGCUUCUUUUGAGUGUCUACGUAACAUGUGAAAGUUUGUCGUUGCCCAUCCACGGUUAUGGAGCUGGUUAACCUUGCAGCCCGGUUGACUCAUAUGCUUAUUCAUUUGAUUGGAUAUGGGAAGUGGUUCUGGUGAAGCUGCUCCUUAUCCCUGCUAGGUUAAGGUGGGCACAUUUGGUGAUGAAUGUUGUCUUCGAUUGUCUCAGGGAUGCAGGGAUAAGAUGUGAAGGACAUAAAAUGCGUGAUCAAUUAUGAUUUUCCAUCUAGCCUUGAGGACUAUGUCCACAGGAUUGGACGAACAGGACGUGCAGGGGCAACAGGAACUGCUUUGACUUUUUUCACAGAGUCAAAUGGUAAAUUUGCUAGAGA